rnacentral:rRNA from 1 species
CUACAGCCAUACCACCCUGAACGCACCCGAUCUCAUCUGAUCUCGGAAGCUAAGCAGGGUCGGGCCUGGUUAGUACUUGGAUGGGAGAAUUGGGACUAAGAAGA